rnacentral:rRNA from 1 species
UACCAUGCAAGUCGAGCGGUAGAGAGGUGCUUGCACCUCUUGAGAGCGGCGGACGGGUGAGUAAAGCCUAGGAAUCUGCCUGGUAGUGGGGGAUAACGCUCGGAAACGGACGCUAAUACCGCAUACGUCCUACGGGAGAAAGCAGGGGACCUUCGGGCCUUGCGCUAUCAGAUGAGCCUAGGUCGGAUUAGCUAGUUGGUGAGGUAAUGGCUCACCAAGGCGACGAUCCGUAACUGGUCUGAGAGGAUGAUCAGUCACACUGGAACUGAGACACGGUCCAGACUCCUACGGGAGGCAGCAGUGGGGAAUAUUGGACAAUGGGCGAAAGCCUGAUCCAGCCAUGCCGCGUGUGUGAAGAAGGUCUUCGGAUUGUAAAGCACUUUAAGUUGGGAGGAAGGGCAUUAACCUAAUACGUUAGUGUUUUGACGUUACCGACAGAAUAAGCACCGGCUAACUCUGUGCCAGCAGCCGCGGUAAUACAGAGGGUGCAAGCGUUAAUCGGAAUUACUGGGCGUAAAGCGCGCGUAGGUGGUUCGUUAAGUUGGAUGUGAAAUCCCCGGGCUCAACCUGGGAACUGCAUUCAAAACUGUCGAGCUAGAGUAUGGU